rnacentral:tRNA from 1 species
CAGUGUAUAGUUUAAGUAGAAAAUGUGGGUUUUGGGAAUCUUUGUUCUUCUGUUAGAAGUGUGCUGA